GAGGUGGGAGGGUUGUUUGAGGCCAGGAGUUUGAGCCUGCAAUGAGCUAUGAUCACACCACUGCACUCCAGCCUGAGUGACAGAGCUAGACCCUGCCUC
rnacentral:miRNA from 1 species